UUUGAGGGUUUGAUCCUGGCCCAGGAUGAACGCUGGCGGCGUGCCUUAGGCAUGCAAGUGGAACGAUCCUUAGAGUAAUCGAAGGAAAGUCGCGAACGGCUGAGUAUAUAGUAGGAAUCUACCCUUUGGCGGGGAAUACCCCCGAGAAAUCGGGGCUAAUACCGCAUGACCUCGUGAGAGAAAAGGGCGUAACUGCCCGCCGAAGGAGGAGCCUACUUCCCAUCAGCUUGUUGGUAGGGUAACGGCCUACCAAGGCUACGACGGGUAGGGGGCGUGAG
rnacentral:rRNA from 1 species